UGCCAGCAGCCGCGGUAAUACGAGUGCCUCAAGCGCUAUCCGGAUUUAUUGGGCGUAAAGGGUUCGUAGGCGGUUUAUUAAGUCAAUAGUUAAAUCUCAAAGCUCAACUUUGAAACCGCUAUUGAAACUGGUAGACUAGAGGGUGGAAGAGGUAAGUGGAAUUGCCGGUGUAGGGGUAAAAUCCGUUGAUAUCGGCAGGAACACCAAAUGCGAAGGCAACUUACUAGUACACUUCUGACGCUGAUGAACGAAAGCGUGGGUAGCGAAUGGGAUUAGAUA
rnacentral:rRNA from 1 species